CUGUCCCAGAUGAGGGGGUCCCCCUGAGAAGGAAGUAAAGCUGGAAAGCAGCGGGGAAGGCGAAGCAGGUGGGAGGUGGUCUACUUGCAAGAUAUCCCCGCCCAGGAUGCUGGAGGACAGGAUUCGGCGUUGCCCCGAGCACGGCAAGGAGCAGAGAUGAGCAGCCUCUCGACGUCGUCGUGGAUUUUUUCGUCCGAGGAACCGGCCUUCGCAUCUGCAGCUAUCGCCACGUUCACCUGGCAGACAUCGCCUGUGACUG